rnacentral:misc_RNA from 1 species
AAAAAUUCCAACUAAAAGUAGCAGCCUUAGUGCUGUUUACUUUUAAACCCUUGUGAACUGUUUAUUGUCUAUGGUGGGUUAAAAGAUCUCUCUUUGUAAGGGAUUGGCUUUUAACCAAGCUACCCACCUAUUUUAUUUAAACACUUUAUAAAUUUUGUCUUUAACAAUUCAUUUUUGAAUUCUUUGAAUUUAAAAA